rnacentral:misc_RNA from 1 species
AAGGAUCAUUAUCGUGGGGCUCCGGCCCCGUCGAGAUAGAACCCUUGCCUUUUUUGAGUACCGUCCGUUUCCUCGGCAGGCCCGCCUGCCAACGGGGACCCCAACAAAAACCAAACCCCUUCCGCACCUGUAUAGUCUGAAAAAAAUAAAAAAAUUAAAACUUUCAACAACGGAUCUCUUGGUUCUG